AAUUUCGCGCCAAUACCAAAGUGCCAUACAUUCUAUUUUCUAACAGUCGUGUUAAUAGUAUACAUAACAAGUGGUAAUUUUGAAUGCAUUUUAAACUGAUUUAACGAAGAUGUCGACUCCUUCCAAGCGUCCAUCUUCACGUGCAUCUUCUGAUGCACCUACUCCAUCUCGCCGAACAAGAUCUUCUCAACAACUUGUUGUACCCGAAACUCCUCAUCGAUCAAGCGGUACACCUUCAAAAGAUGGAACACCUGGCACCCCUCGUCAAACUCCACGAACUCCUAAUCAACAAGCCCCAGGCACCUCGCUGGCUCGACCGCUGCCAUCCAGCCCACUUGGAACUGACACAGAUAUGAGUUCCCCACUAAACUAUGGAACACCAAGCUCAUUAAGCACUCCUCGUUCACUACUGCGAGGAGCAAUGACUCCGGCGAGACAGAGAGCUGAUCUGAGAGGCCAUCUAACAGCACCAAAUGUUCCAGCUCCUACACCUACAAGGAGGGUUGAAGCAGGUGAACCAGAAGUAUCGAGUGAACCUCAAUUAGUAGUGUGGGGUACAGAUGUAGCAAUUGCUGAAUGCAGAGAGAAGUUUAUCAAAUUCAUACAAAGAUUUGUCGAACCAAACGCACUUACUAAUGAGCCUUUAUAUGAACUUAAAUUAGAGGAAAUUUUUACAUUAGAGGAGCCUUUUUUGGAUGUUGACUGCGAACAUGUGAAGAUAUUUGAUUCAAAACUACACAGGCAACUUGUGUGUUAUCCUCAGGAAGUCAUUCCAGCAUUUGAUGCUGCUGUAAACGAGCUGUUCUUCGAAAAGUAUCCUGUAGCAGUUUUGGAACAUCAAAUACAAGUGCGACCUUUCAACGCCCCUCAGAGGCACAUGAGGGAUUUAAAUCCAGAAGACAUCGACCAGCUGGUGACGAUAUCGGGCAUGGUGAUCCGCACGUCGGGCAUCGUGCCGGAGAUGCGCGAGGCGUACUUCCGGUGCGCGGUGUGCGGCUCGGCGGCGGCGGGCGAGCUGGAGCGCGGCCGCGUGCCCGAGCCGGCGCACUGCGCGCACUGCACCACGCAGCACAGCUUCCAGCUCAUACACAACCGCUCCCACUUCAGCGACAAGCAGCUCGUCAAGUUGCAGGAGGCCCCAGACGACAUGCCGGCGGGGCGCACGCCGGCCACGGUGAGCGUGCUGGCGCACGGCGCGCUGGUGGAGCAGGUGGGCGCGGGCGAGCGCGUGGCCGUGACGGGCGUGUUCCGCGCCGCGCCCGCCGCCGUCAACCCGCGCCGCGCCACGCUCAAGGCGCUGCACCGCACGCACCUCGACGCGCUGCACUACAAGAAGGCGCACAGCGACCGCUUCCUGGAGACCGAGGAAGGCAAGGAACAUCAAUUUCCUCCAGAACGUGUAGAGCUAUUCAAGGCGCUGGCGUCUCAGCCAGAUUGUUACGAAAGACUCGCCCGUGCCAUAGCACCUUCAAUUUACGAGAAUAUCGAUAUUAAGAAAGGCGUAUUGCUUCAACUUCUCGGCGGCACUAAAAAAAACUUCAAUGCCGCUGGAAGGACACAUUUUAGAUCGGAGAUCAAUAUCCUGCUGUGCGGCGACCCGGGCACGAGCAAGUCGCAGUUGCUGCGCUGGGUGCACGCGCUGGUGCCGCGCGCGCAGUACACGUCGGGCCGCGGCUCGUCCGCCGUCGGUCUCACCGCCUACGUCACCAAGGACCCUGACACACGACAGUUGGUCCUGCAAACGGGUGCAUUAGUGUUAGCUGAUAAUGGUAUAUGCUGUAUAGAUGAGUUUGACAAGAUGAAUGACUCCACUCGAAGUGUACUUCAUGAAGUGAUGGAGCAACAGACACUAUCAAUAGCAAAGGCCGGUAUCAUCUGUCAACUUAACGCGCGUACGUCGAUCCUAGCCGCCGCCAAUCCCGCCGAGUCUCAAUGGAAUAAAAACAAAACUAUUGUUGAAAAUGUACAACUACCUCACACACUUAUGUCCAGAUUCGACUUAAUAUUCUUAGUAUUAGACCCACAAGACGAAAUUUUUGACAGAAGACUGGCAUCCCAUCUUGUAUCGCUGUACUAUAAGGACCCAACUGAAACUCUGGAAGAUGAGGAUGCUGUCAACAUGAGUCUAAUGCGCGACUACAUCGCCUUCGCGAAGGAACACGUGCAGCCGACGCUCAGCGAGCCCGCGCAACAGAGACUCAUCGACGCGUACGUGGACAUGAGACGAGUUGGUAGCGGGCGAGGGCAGAUAUCUGCAUAUCCGAGACAGCUGGAGUCGCUCAUACGGUUAGCGGAAGCGCACGCGAGGGUGCGGCUGUGUCCUGUAGUUGAAAUUAUAGACGUUGACGAGGCUGCUAGACUGCACCGCGAGGCACUGAAGCAGUCGGCCACGGACCCGGCGUCGGGGCGCAUCGACGUGGGCAUCCUCACGACGGGGCUCGGCGCGGCCGCGCGGCGCCGGCGCGCCGAGCUGGGCGCGGCGCUGCGCGCGCUGCUGGAGCCCGUGCGCCGCCCCGCCACGCUCACGCACGCGCGGCUGCUGCAGGACGUCAACGCCAACUCGCAGAUCACGGUGACACGAGACCAAUUAGAUGAAGCACUCCGAGAUUUACAGGAUGAAGGAAAAGUCGUAGUCGUCAGUCACACGCAUGUACGAAUUUGUUAAAAUACACGCAUUAAUCCAGUUGAGCUUAAAACUGCAGGUGGUAGGGCACCGCUCAUUCUCCAUCUAUAGUAAUACUUCACUUAUCAUCAAUGUUCAUGGGCACACUUAUCAUCAAGUGACCUAAAUACUCGUCUGGCAAAAAAAGCAAAGUAAUGUAUACCGAUUCAUCGACUUUCAGCAUUUAACCAUCAGCUCCAAUAUUGAUUUUUACAGAAUAGCUUUACUGUACAUUCAAAUAAUGGUAGUUUUGUCCGCCUUAUUUUAUCGAUUCAAUGGUGUUUUAUAGUUAAGUUACUUUAAGUUGAUAUCGUUUUUGUAUUUUUUAUAUUCUUCAAGCUAAAGAUAAAUGUGUUGAAAAUGCAUGUUUUCGAUUUUUAAUAAUAUGUUAAAAUUGUGUAUUUAACCUCGAAAAUUGUAACCUUAAAUUUGUGGA